CCUUUGCUACCUUGCGCGCGCCAUGUUGUUUCUCACCUCCAAGGCCUGAUUGCCGUCCCUGUCAGCAGACUAUGGACUGAAACCUCUACAAAUGCAUGAGGAACUUCACUGAGUGCUGACACUAUGCUCUUGGACUGGCAGCCUCUGGAACUGUGUACAGAGUUUGUCCUGGGAAAAUGUAUAGAUGCCAGCUGCAGUUUUACCUUUGGAAAGAAUGCCAAAUCGGUAAUCACAACAAAGCCUCUCCAAACAAACCAUGGUUUACUCAUCAUCUAUAUAAGGCAAAGGAAAAAGAAAAAGGUAAAAUUAUGAACUGGACCUCAGGACUACUGGAUUUUGCUCCAUACUUGUUCGCUAGACAGCUGUAUGGCUUUAGCAGCUUCGAAGGCGAGGAUUGUGCUAAAACUUCAGCCAUUACAGAACUGGAUUAUGGACACACAUGACCUAUUCAAGUAAUUCCCAAACCCAGCUGCUGAUCAGUAUCACUAGGGAGCUCCUAGUGAUACUCCAUGUACCCGCAGAAAUUGAUUCAAUGUCUGUGGCAAGAGGAAUCUGUUUUUCAAUGCAUUAAUCCAAGUAUUCCUAAUGUAUGUCUUGCUUAGAAUGAUAAAUCAAUCUUUCUUUCAUCAUUUUUAUCAGUACAUAUUUGCAGUACAUAAUGUUUACAUUCCUUGUGUGGAAUUGGUAUGGCACAUAACACAUCCCCAAAAUCUGGCCUGACAUUGAAGACCUUACAAAAUGUGGCCCCACCCUACCGCGGUAGAGGGGUUUUGUCACAGUGUUACUUCCAUCCCACCACCAUGCAUGUUGCUUACCAGUGAUUUUAUGCAUGUUAAUUUCUCUCAGUUUUUGCCAACACAUCAAACUAUGACUCCUUCCUUUAAGACAUAACCCAGGUUUCUUGUGCCUAAGAAGUUGCUCCUCACUCCCUGAGCCAGCUUUAACUGUGUCCCUGUCUGGGUUUCCACAACACUCUGUUAAAACAUUGAUAAUAAACUAUAUUUCUUACCACUAGCUCACAAG
rnacentral:lncRNA from 1 species